CAGAAAUCAAAUAUUAAUAGGAGUAACUUAUCUCAUAUGUUAGUUUGAUAUCUUGGGGGUGCAGGAAAUAUAUCAAUUGUUUAUUUGAAUACAUAGGUUGCGAAUGGCAUUGGAUUGAUUUCAAUGAGAUUUGAGAAAUUUGUGUAUAAAAGGAAGAAUAGUUGAACUAUGCCACGUAGCAAAAAGAGAGAUCCUACUACUGUGACUACUGCCGCUGAUCAGAAAGAGUACAUAUGCACAGUUGAGAUGCUCCUUAAGGAAGAAGUUUUCUAUGAAUGUUUAAGAAUCAAAGUUCUCCAUGGCUGUCCUUAUUUACUGUCUCAUAAAGAAUUUCAUAACUUAUUUUUUCAACAAAUCUCUUUGCCCUAGUUGAUCACUUAUUUCUUGAGAGGCACUUAUUUCUUGAACACAUCUCUUUUACCGCCCCGCGCCCACCCCACCAGCCUGUCUGGUUACACAUAACUUGUUGGCUAAGAAUGAGAACAUUCCAGUUUC